rnacentral:rRNA from 1 species
GUUUGAUCCUGGCUCAGGACGAACGCUGGCGGCGUGCCUAAUACAUGCAAGUCGAACGAACUCUGGUAUUGAUUGGUGCUUGCAUCAUGAUUUACAUUUGAGUGAGUGGCGAACUGGUGAGUAACACGUGGGAAACCUGCCCAGAAGCGGGGGAUAACACCUGGAAACAGAUGCUAAUACCGCAUAACAACUUGGACCGCAUGGUCCGAGCUUGAAAGAUGGCUUCGGCUAUCACUUUUGGAUGGUCCCGCGGCGUAUUAGCUAGAUGGUGGGGUAACGGCUCACCAUGGCAAUGAUACGUAGCCGACCUGAGAGGGUAAUCGGCCACAUUGGGACUGAGACACGGCCCAAACUCCUACGGGAGGCAGCAGUAGGGAAUCUUCCACAAUGGACGAAAGUCUGAUGGAGCAACGCCGCGUGAGUGAAGAAGGGUUUCGGCUCGUAAAACUCUGUUGUUAAAGAAGAACAUAUCUGAGAGUAACUGUUCAGGUAUUGACGGUAUUUAACCAGAAAGCCACGGCUAACUACGUGCCAGCAGCCGCGGUAAUACGUAGGUGGCAAGCGUUGUCCGGAUUUAUUGGGCGUAAAGCGAGCGCAGGCGGUUUUUUAAGUCUGAUGUGAAAGCCUUCGGCUCAACCGAAGAAGUGCAUCGGAAACUGGGAAACUUGAGUGCAGAAGAGGACAGUGGAACUCCAUGUGUAGCGGUGAAAUGCGUAGAUAUAUGGAAGAACACCAGUGGCGAAGGCGGCUGUCUGGUCUGUAACUGACGCUGAGGCUCGAAAGUAUGGGUAGCAAACAGGAUUAGAUACCCUGGUAGUCCAUACCGUAAACGAUGAAUGCUAAGUGUUGGAGGGUUUCCGCCCUUCAGUGCUGCAGCUAACGCAUUAAGCAUUCCGCCUGGGGAGUACGGCCGUAAGGCUGAAACUCAAAGGAAUUGACGGGGGCCCGCACAAGCGGUGGAGCAUGUGGUUUAAUUCGAAGCUACGCGAAGAACCUUACCAGGUCUUGACAUACUAUGCAAAUCUAAGAGAUUAGACGUUCCCUUCGGGGACAUGGAUACAGGUGGUGCAUGGUUGUCGUCAGCUCGUGUCGUGAGAUGUUGGGUUAAGUCCCGCAACGAGCGCAACCCUUAUUAUCAGUUGCCAGCAUUAAGUUGGGCACUCUGGUGAGACUGCCGGUGACAAACCGGAGGAAGGUGGGGAUGACGUCAAAUCAUCAUGCCCCUUAUGACCUGGGCUACACACGUGCUACAAUGGAUGGUACAACGAGUUGCGAACUCGCGAGAGUAAGCUAAUCUCUUAAAGCCAUUCUCAGUUCGGAUUGUAGGCUGCAACUCGCCUACAUGAAGUCGGAAUCGCUAGUAAUCGCGGAUCAGCAUGCCGCGGUGAAUACGUUCCCGGGCCUUGUACACACCGCCCGUCACACCAUGAGAGUUUGUAACACCCAAAGUCGGUGGGGUAACCUUUUAGGAACCAGCCGCCUAAGGUGGGACAGAUGAUUAGGGUG